GAUUGUUUCCAUUGAUGAUGAUGAUGGAGAUGUGUUGCUGUUCUUCAUUGAUUUCAACUCUUCCUCCAUUGCUGCUCUCUGUUCCAGAACUUUCAAGGAAGUUGCCUUCCUGUAUACUUUGCACAAAACUACAUUCUGCAUAUUCAAACAAAAAAAAGGAAAUCUUUUUCAAACUUCUAAAUUUGAAUUUUUUAAAAU